AAAGCCCAUCGCAGAACCUCCCGGGCCACCCGGCCUGCGGCGGAAUGUUGCGUAAAGGGAAAGGUCGUAGUCAAACCCAACAGCCACGCGAUUCUCUAAGUCAGCCACGAAUCGGCUAUCCCAACUAACGGCGGGAAAGACUCCAUGGAGGGUGUAAGACCCGUAUGGGCGCGUGUAAAUGUUGUACGGGUUCGGCCUUUCCUUGAGAGUCGCGUUGCUUGAGCAUGCAGCGCUAAGCAGGUCGUAAACUCGAUCUAAGGCUAAAUAUAUCCACAGGACCGAUAGCAAACAAGUACCGUGAGGGAAAGUUGAAAAGCACUCUGAAGAGAGAGUCAAAAGACCGUGAAACCGCUCAGAGUAUAAGCCCAUGGUGUCUGGAAGGCUACUGUUGUAAUUCUCCCUUUUAAGGGAUAUGCUAACUGUCACAGAGACAAGGUUCGUCAGGGAGGCAUUGAGUUGAUAUCUCGCUGACGUGCGGGGGAGUUCGUUGGGGUUUGCGAUUGUCUUUCGGGAUGGUUGUGAGCUUCGGCGUCUUCCUUUUGAAUGGACGUUCAAGGUCUGUGACGGUCAACAGAAUAGCCCACCACAACUCGUUGUGAGGUCACCCACAGGCUCAAACAGUCGAUUGCGAGCCAACGUGCAGCGGUCGCAUCGGGAAGACUGCUGUUAUCGUUGGCUCGAGCGAUCCGAGAAUAACCUGGUAUGAUCCUCGUGCGACGAGUUGGUUCUGACCGGAAGCAUCUCCUCGGGUUUUUGUGUUGAUCGUUUGUGCCCGGCGUGAAGUCGAUCCGGAGUUGGUCCGUAUGGUGAUCAGUCCAGCCCCAUCGGUCACGUCUCGAAACACGGGCCAAGGAGUAUAGCAUGUGUGCAAGUCUAAGGGUCUCACAAAACCUGAAGGCGAAGUGAAAGCAAAGGUUGCGGCGGAGGAGCUUCGGCAAUUCCGUCAGCCAAAGGACGUGUCCUGGCUUAAGCAGAGCUGAUCCCGUUGAAGUUGGCAAUGUCCCGAAGCGGUCGCAAGCUCCAGGCUCACGCAUGCACGGUUGCGACUGUGUUGUGAGCACUGUGGAGCAUGCAUGCUAUAACCCGAAAGAUAGUGAACUAUGCCUGGCGA
rnacentral:rRNA from 1 species